UACGGAGGGUGCAAGCGUUAUCCGGAUUCACUGGGUUUAAAGGGUGCGUAGGCGGAUAAGUAAGUCAGUGGUGAAAUCUCCGAGCUUAACUCUAGAACUGCCAUUGAUACUAUCUGUCUUGAAUAUUGUGGAGGUAAGCGGAAUAUGUCAUGUAGCGGUGAAAUGCUUAGAUAUGACAUAGAACACCUAUUGCGAAGGCAGCUUACUACGCAUAUAUUGACGCUGAGGCACGAAAGCGUGGGGAUCAAACAGG
rnacentral:rRNA from 1 species